rnacentral:rRNA from 1 species
AUUGAACGCUGGCGGCAGGCCUAACACAUGCAAGUCGGGCGGUAGCACAGGAGAGCUUGCUCUCCGGGUGACGAGCGGCGGACGGGUGAGUAAUGUCUGGGAAACUGCCUGAUGGAGGGGGAUAACUACUGGAAACGGUAGCUAAUACCGCAUAACGUCGCAAGACCAAAGAGGGGGACCUUCGGGCCUCUUGCCAUCGGAUGUGCCCAGAUGGGAUUAGCUAGUAGGUGAGGUAAAGGCUCACCUAGGCGACGAUCCUUAGCUGGUCUGAGAGGAUGACCAGCCACACUGGAACUGAGACACGGGCCAGACUCCUACGGGAGGCAGCAGUGGGGAAUAUUGCACAAUGGGCGCAAGCCUGAUGCAGCCAUGCCGCGUGUAUGAAGAAGGCCUUCGGGUUGUAAAGUACUUUCAGCGGGGAGGAAGGUGUUGUGGUUAAUAACCGCAGCAAUUGACGUUACCCGCAGAAGAAGCACCGGCUAACUCCGUGCCGGCAGCCGCCGCCG